AUGACCAAGCGCGUUUACUCCUGCGCAUGCAUUCAAGACGCUUACUAUUGUGAUCGAGUUAGGCACCAGGUCUGCAUCAGAAGCCAGCAUAUCCUUGAACAGCUCAAUGGCAUCAGCAGGUCUCUCAUUCUUGGCAUAGCACGCAAUCAUGGCACUCCAGGAAACAACGUUCCUCUCUGGCAUUGCAGCAAACACAUUCUCAGCAUAGCCGACGAUCCCAAGCUUUGCAUAGCAGUCAAUAAGAGUAGUGGCGACAUGCAUGUGCAAUGCGUAGCCACGGUGGAUGGCAUGUGCGUGUACCUCGCGUACACGGGCGGAGGCAGGUGCGUGCGACGCCGACACAGCGAUGCACGCCUUGAGCCCGUGCGUGUAGCUGUAGCUGUCGACGGGAACGCCGAACCGCCCCAUGUCGGCCAAGCGCGCGAGCGCCUCGUCGCCAUGGUCGGCGAGCGUGAGGGCCUUGAGCAGCGCGUUCCACACGAAGAUGUUCUUGUCGGGCGCCUCGUCGAACACCUGGCGCGCGGCCGGGAGCGCGCCGAGCGCGGCGUAUGCGUCGAUGAGGCGGGUGGAGAGGAACGGGUCGGAGCGGAAGACCGGGUCGGCCUCGAGCCGGCGGUGGACGGCCGCGGCGAGCGCGGCGUCCCCGGCCCGGGCGGCGGCCUGGAGGAGCGACUCGUAGGUGCGCUGCGUGGGCGCGGGGAGGCCCUGGAGGAGCGCCGCGGCGCGGGAGAGGCGGCCGCUGGCGCAGAGCGUCUGGAUAAGGUGGUUCGCGUUGGCCGGCGGGGGCGCCGCGCCCGACGACGACAGGGACGACCUGCAGCGCGCGAGCCUUGGGCGCCUGGCGCCGAACGCCGGGUGGGAGAGGUGGAGCGAACCCGCGGGAGCGGAGGCGAACAUGAGGCGGAGGGGGCGGCUAGGUAG
rnacentral:rRNA from 1 species